GACGAACGCUGGCGGCGUGCUUAACACAUGCAAGUCGAACGUGAUUUUUGUGGAAAUUCUUUCGGGAAUGGAAAUGAAAUGAAAGUGGCGAACGGGUGAGUAACACGUGAGCAGCCUACCUUACACAGGGGGAUAGCCGUUGGAAACGACGAUUAAUACCGCAUGAGACCACAGAAUCGCAUGAUAUAGGGGUCAAAGAUUUAUCGGUGUAAGAAGGGCUCGCGUCUGAUUAGCUAGUUGGAAGGGUAAAGGCCUACCAAGGCGACGAUCAGUAGCCGGUCUGAGAGGAUGAACGGCCACAUUGGAACUGAGACACGGUCCAAACUCCUACGGGAGGCAGCAGUGGGGAAUAUUGCACAAUGGGGGGAACCCUGAUGCAGCGACGCCGCGUGAGCGAAGAAGGUUUUCGAAUCGUAAAGCUCUGUCCUAUGAGAAGAUAAUGACGGUAUCAUAGGAGGAAGCCCCGGCUAAAUACGUGCCAGCAGCCGCGGUAAUACGUAUGGGGCGAGCGUUGUCCGGAAUUAUUGGGCGUAAAGGGUACGUAGGCGGUUUUUUAAGUCAGGUGUGAAAGCGUGAGGCUUAACCUCAUUAAGCACUUGAAACUGGAAGACUUGAGUGAAGGAGAGGAAAGUGGAAUUCCUAGUGUAGCGGUGAAAUGCGUAGAUAUUAGGAGGAAUACCGGUGGCGAAGGCGACUUUCUGGACUUUUACUGACGCUCAGGUACGAAAGCGUGGGGAGCAAACAGG
rnacentral:rRNA from 1 species